rnacentral:lncRNA from 1 species
AAAUGAACAAAAGCCCCAAACGGUUUUACUUAAGGGAUUUUGUAAGGUCGAAAGGAUUUAUUUAAGAACAGAAUAGUUUUCUUUUUAGUUGGCCCAUAUAUGAUUGACUUUUGGAUUGUAUAACUGUGAGGUAGGGAGAUUCAAGUACAAGAAAGAGGAACCAUUAGCUGAGUGGGGUGGAUUGAGCUGGAGCAGAGGCAAGGCCAGUUUGGGGAGAGAGGAAAAAGGAGACCAGGGGUGGCAGGCUUUGGGCUGAGGGAGAAGCAGAGGAAAAGAACACAUCAGAAGAAAGGGACCUAACAGACCAGGAAGAGCCAGAGUUGGAGAAAAAGCAAAUGGCUAAUGAGACACCCACGAGAAUGCAGCUUUCAGAGAAGAAACUCAGUCGAGAUUUGCACACCCUGGACGAGGAAGAGAAGCAGAGAUGUUAUUUGGAGCUGGAUGUUAUUCCUUGCUCAAAGGGGAAAAAAAAAUUCUGUUUCAUGAAUGGAUGCCACGCAAGCACCCUUGAUCUUCAAUGAACAGGAUGUCAUGUGAUUCUGCAAACUGUUUCAGAACCAUUCACGCUUCCGUCUAGAAUGUUCCCAGAGAGGGAAAAAAAAAAAAAAAACAGUGCAGGGUGGAGGUUCCUGAGAAAUCCCCGACUUAGCACAAGUUCAUUUUUGUGAUGGGUUUAGAAAUCCAGUUAAUCUUUAAGUCAUUUCCAAGGCAGAACUGUAAUUUUGUCUAUUAAAAAUAUAGAAAAACAAAACAAGACAAAACCACUCCCUCUGUCCCUCAAAAUGUGUUUAUAAACGGCAUCAUGUGAAAAUCCAACUUGGAAAGAAUUCGAGUUUGACUUUAAACUGUUUGUUCACAAGCUCAUGGUUCUUGGAUUCAUUAACUCUUAUUUAUAAACUUAAGGUUGUUUUGGAACAGGAAGCAUAACAUUUACUAAAAAGAACAUUGAAAUGUAUUUGUCUUUUUAAUUAAAAAAAUACUAAGAAAUGAAGUCUGCAGAACACAAAAUCUUAAUAUUGCAGUAGGAUUUUCCCUCAUUAAAAAAUAUAUAUCAAACCAUUGUCUGAUUGAAACUAAACACAGUUAAACAUAUAUAGAUAUAAAUUAUAUAAUUUACAUUUAUUAUCCUUAAUCCAGGUACACAUGCAAACACAUUUGUAUAUAUAAAUUAUGUAUGAAAUACUCAUAGCUAAAAUUUAUGUGGCUAUAUUUGAAACUGUGACAUCAGAGAUAGGCUUAAAACAUGUUUAAUUACAUUACCAGCGUGUAUAAUCAGAGUUAGAACUACUGAUAGAUUUUGCUGACAAGAAUUAUGGAAAGUAGCAGCUAAUUCAGGAUUGUUCUAUUACAGAUAUUACAGGGGAAGCAAGUCUGGGAAGUGCAUUUAGAUUCCCAUAUCACUCACUUUUUGUGGGAAUUUUGUUAUUAAAAGGAAGCAUCAUUCUGAGACAAUUUAGGCAAGUAAAUUAUAGAAUAAAAUAGUCAUCGUUUUGGAUAAAUUCUUGUGA